ensembl:lncRNA
AACCAUUCCAAACCAAAGCUGUGUUGAUCUUUUAUAGGUUGGAGGUGCAUAGCCAUGUCAUACAGAUGAAACGAUUCAUUAUCCACUUGGCCGGACUCAAUCUCCUAUCAGACCGAUGCUUCAGCAGGGGGCCUUCACACUGAGGAAGAGGAGCAGGAGGGGUGUGAGUGUGUGAGGCCAGAGUGCAGACUCACACCCGAGCAGAUGAGAGAAGAGAUCAGGAUGGAGAGAUACGCAGGCCUGGAUGUUGGAGACACACGCGCAGCUGUUGCCUGAUGGAAUACCGAUGGAAACACUGCUUUGGAGGACCUUUCUCGAACAAGAGCCUGUAAGAUGUCCUCACAUGCAGCUGACCUGCUUUCAUCCCUCUCACCUGCUUGUCUCCAGCCACUUAUAUGUGACUCUGUCUGCUCAGCCAAGCCCCCUCUUUGACUGGACGAUGGGUCCCCGCCAAAUCAAAAACAAAAUCAAUCAUUUCAUGCCUCUUCGUCAACUGCCAGAAGGUUCUGUGGUCAUGACUUUAAAAAAUAAUGUUUGAGGUUGUUUAAAAAAAAAGAAAAGAAAAUCCACGGUGUAGAACAUUUUUACCAUUCUGUUAGAAAAGGAUAAUUUGCUAAACAUCGUAGUGCAUAAUAGUGUUGAGAAAAUUGCGGAAGGAGUUUGAGGGAAGUUUCUGGUGUCUUCUUGGUGACAGUUAGCUGGACGUCAUGGCAAGUUUAGAUCAAGUACACAUCUACCAUCGUCUGUCACUGCAGCAUUAUGGUUAACUUGUAAUCUGUUUCUAGCUUGCUGGUCAGAAAAAGCAUAUGUAACAUUCUGAGUGUGACCCUUGACAUAAUCCUUACAAACGGACCCUUGAAGACCGUAUCCAAGUUACGGUAACGAGCUAGCUAGCCGUCUAGUGAUGCGGAUAACGUUUAGCUUAAUUUUACCGUGACUAACUAUCAAGCUAACUAGCUAUUUGGCAGUUUCUCUUUAGUUACUCAAAUGCUAGACAGUUCUAUUUAGUACCUUAUUCUUGGGUGCUAUGAGCUAGCUAGCUAAUUAUGUUUUGUUUACUGUAUGGUACUCCAAUGAGAGCCCAUUGUUGUGACAUCUUGCUAGCUUACUCAACAGCAAGCUAACUCAAGCGAGCUGGCUUUAUCCGACCGUAUCGAGUUUCCAGUUUAUAGUUUAGUCUUGUACGGAAGCAGGAUGGUCAGUUACGUUUUGUAGUUGGCUAUGUGAAUGACCUCCUCCGAUUGUUCCCAGGGGGUGCCUCUAUAAUCAAUAUGUCAUCUGUAUUGGUUUGCUCUUUCUGCUCAUGUUUCUCAUUGAGUCUUGGAUUUUUGUGUUACACCACGCACCUAUGCACCUCCUCUGCCAUCGACUCUGAGCUGCUGUGUUCGGCCAAAUCUUUACCACCAUCAUCAUGAGGUAAAUCACCAAAAAUGGGCUUAAAACAAAGGAAAUAGAAUCUCCUACCCGCCUCCAGGGUUUUAUUCCUAAUGGUGCUUUUAUUGGUGCUUUACGCCUAAACAUGGAUGGAAACAGCCAUCGCUACACUGACUGGUGUCCUGUUAUGAUGCGUUGCUUUGCUAUUAAUCGAGAGACACUCGAGUGGUCAAGGUUCAUGUCUGUGAUCCUUCACGUCGGGUGCUUGGAUACUCACCGUAUACUCGUAUCAUGACAAAUGAUCUGACUGCUGUUAUGUGAAGUCAAAGAGUCAUGCAACCCACAUGACCACAGUCCAGGAAGAUAAUUAAGCCCUUUUUCUUAUAGACAGUGGAUGAUGAAGCACAGAGUGCUCAGGACCCGAUGAGCUCGGAGGUCAAAAGGUCAAAAGGUAAAGGCCUGAGUAUCUCAUUAGAGGUUGUUUUCUUCCCUUACUGUACCGUCCUUGAUUCCCUUGACAACGACCCCCUAAACCCUAAUCACUAAUCCUGUCAUACAUAGUGGCUGGUGCCUGGACAAAAUAGAUCCAUACAUGGGCAUAUAUCCAGUGGUGUUCAGAAUGUUGUGCCCACAAACGCAUAUUGUAAAAAAAUUAAUUAAUUAAAUAAAUAAAUAAAUAAAAAGUAGAAAACACGUCUAAUUUCCUGAGGGAAAAAUCGGCCAUGUGCUGUAGUGUCUCUACUACUAACCUUCAGCGUGUGAGGCCUAUCGCAAGAUCUUGUCAUGAAGAUCUAUGCAAAAUAAAUAUGUUAAUUUAAAAAUAAACAGAAAUAAAUAAACGCAGUGGCUCCAUGUUGAAGGACGUUUGCAAAUCUAGCAGAACUUGCGUAACCUAGAUGGACAGGGCACUUCCAUUGUUGCAGCUUAUCUAGACAAAUAACGUCAAGAGUCCCUCCCAGAUAGCACCCGAACGUCGACCAGGUUCACGCCUCUUCGCGAGGUGUGUUCUCUCCGUC